AGCGAACGCUGGCGGCAGGCCUAACACAUGCAAGUCGAACGAACCUUUCGGGGUUAGUGGCGGACGGGUGAGUAACACGUGGGAACGUGCCUUUAGGUUCGGAAUAACUCAGGGAAACUUGUGCUAAUACCGAAUGUGCCCUUCGGGGGAAAGAUUUAUCGCCUUUAGUGCGGCCCGCGUCUGAUUAGCUAGUUGGUUGAGGUAAUGGCUCACCAAGGCGACGAUCAGUAGCUGGUCUGAGAGGAUGAUCAGCCACAUUGGGACUGAGACACGGCCCAAACUCCUACGGGAAGCAGCAGUGGGGAAUCUUGCGCAAUGGGCGAAAGCCUGACGCAGCCAUGCCGCGUGAAUGAUGAAGGUCUUAGGAUUGUAAAAUUCUUUCACCGGGGACGAUAAUGACGGUACCCGGAGAAGAAGCCCCGGCUAACUUCGUG
rnacentral:rRNA from 1 species